GGGUCAGGCCACCGAGUCGGCGGCGAUCAGCAGCCAGCUCAAUGCGCUGGCCAGUCAGCAGAUGAAGUUGAUGGAUCAGUUCAGGGUCUGACUCGGUUCU
rnacentral:tRNA from 1 species